UUACGGCCAUAUCACGUUGGAACAUUGGUUCUCCUCCGAUCACCUAAGUUAACCAACGUCGAGCCAGGUCAGUACCUAGAUGGGUCACCGCUUGGGAAUGCCAGGUGCUGUAAG